UACGGAGGGGGCUAGCGUUGUUCGGAAUUACUGGGCGUAAAGCGCACGUAGGCGGAUUGGAAAGUUGGGGGUGAAAUCCCGGGGCUCAACCCCGGAACUGCCUUCAAAACUCCCGGUCUGGAGGUCGAGAGAGGUGAGUGGAAUUCCGAGUGUAGAGGUGAAAUUCGUAGAUAUUCGGAAGAACACCAGUGGCGAAGGCGGCUCACUGGCCCGUUACCGACGCUCAGGCGCGACAGCGUGGGGAGCAAACAGG
rnacentral:rRNA from 1 species